UAUAUUAAAGUUGUUGCAGUUAAAAAGGCUCGUAGUUGGAUUUCUGGAUCGAGCUCUCUGUCCGCCGCUGUGCGGUGCGUACUUGAGUAGUCUCGUUUCAUCCUUGCAGGGAAGCGUGUUCGACAUUAAUUUGUCGACACGGGGAACUGCAUCUUUUACUGUGAAAAAAUUAGAGUGUUUAAAGCAGGCAUUUUGCUGUGAAUACAUUAGCAUGGAAUAAUAACAUAGGACCCUGGUUCUAUUUUGUUGGUUGGAGGCCAAGGUAAUGAUUAAUAGGGACAGUUGGGGGUAUUCAUAUUUAAUUGUCAGAGGUGAAAUUCUUGGAUUUAUGAAAGAUGAACUCAUGCGAAAGCAUUUACCAAGGAUGUUUUCAUUAAUCAAGAACGAAAGUUAGGGGAUCGAAGAGGAUUAGAUACCCUCGUAGUCUUAACCAUAAACUAUGCCGACUAGGGAUUGGCGGACGUACUUUUUAUGGCUCCGUCAGCACCUUACGAGAAAUCAAAGUCUUUGGGUUCCGGGGGGAGUAUGGUCGCAAGGCUGAAACU
rnacentral:rRNA from 2 species